rnacentral:misc_RNA from 1 species
GCUCCUACCGAUUGAGUGAUCCGGUGAAUUAUUCGGACUGACGCAGUGCUCAGCUUCUGGACGUUGCGUUGGAAAGUUUCAUGAACCUUAUCACUUAGAGGAAGGAGAAGUUGUAACAAGGUUUCCGUAGGUGAACCUGCAGAAGGAUCAAGAUCGUAAGAGCGGCGUGUAGGGAUAGAGGGUAGAUGACGGUGGUCGCCGCAGCAUCAUAAAAAAAAAAAACACAUGCAACACUUAGGUCAUCCUAUAUCUCACUCUCCACUCUCACUUACUUAGC